UUUUUUUUACUUGAUAUUGGGAAAGAAGACAGUGUGACUUUCAGAUGUAGAAGAGUACAAUGGGAGGCUUCAGUUAAUUAAAUCUGUUAUCACCUGCAAGAAAUAGUGAGGGUAUGCCAUCUGGGGGCAGCACACCAGUCCAUAUGUUGAGCAAAGCCAGGAGUACCCCAGCUGUCACCUCGCCUCUCACAAGAACACUAGAGAAGGCUUUUGUCACAGGCCCUGAGUCUCAGUCCAGCUUAACCUCAGUCGUCCAAGUCACACAGGAGGGAAUAAAUGACAGCUCUGGAGAAAGACCAGCUGAUGUGUCCCAGGAGAGGUGAUGAGGAACAAGAAACCACUUCACAUACUGGUCUCAAGAUUGUAUAUCAGCUACAGGGUUCGAAUACCAAUGUGUUUUUUCCCAUAUGUUUUUCCUCGGUGGAAGGAAGAUAUUCUUUUUAAGAAGAUUCAGUCAGACGGAUAUAAUUAUUAUAUAGAGAGAGACUGAUUAAAAUUAAUGUUAUGAGUUUAUGAUUUAGCUUAAGAAAUUGUUUCCCAGUGUCAACAAAAGCUUUAAUAAGAUUAAAACUAGUAAGAUCAA